GUGCUUGCUUUGGUAUCAUGCUUGCUAAAAUUGGAACGAUACAAAGAUGAUUAGCAUGGCCCCUGCGCAAAAAAGACAUGCAAAUUCAUGAAUUAUUCCAUUUUCUU